GGUGGUGAAAAGAAGAAGCACAGUAAGAUUCACAGUUUGCUGCUGUGGGUGGUGGAACACCAGAGACAACAAUACGCCGCAUUUUGCAGUCAUCGUUGACAAACGAAUUGGCUUGUCAAUUUAAUUGGGCUGGGAAAGGAUGUAAAAGGCCAUUCAAAGACACCAUCUUGAAAGACUGCAUAUUUGCUACAGCCUGCCAACAACGUAAAGGAUUGACCUUGCUGACCUUUUCAGAUGUUGUCAUGAAGUGGCUGCGCUAUGCACCCGAAAGAGAAGGUGGCAUUCCCAGGAAGAAAAAUUGAAACGCUGCUCGUCACAUGAUGAACGUCUGAAGGUACCCGGGUUUUAGACAUUGCCAAGCGCCUCCCCUCAGCCCUCCGCAGACGCGACGCCUUCGGGACCGUGGUUAUCCACGUCAGGACCAACGACAUCUCCGACCGGCGCAGCGAGGUCCUGAAGGAGCACUACCAGACGCUACUGGACACCGCCAGGAAGAAGACGGACGCCAGGAUCGUCAUCUCCGGCCCUCUUCCCACCUACCGGCGGGGAUCCGAGCGGUUCAGCAGGCUCUUCGCGCUGCAGUCCUGGCUCCGCGGCUGGUGCACCUGCAACGGUUUGGGCUACGUGGACAACUGGUCCUCGUUUUGGGAGCAGCCAGCGCUCUACCGGAGGGAUGGGCUUCACCCUAGUCCUCUGGGGUCCGUCGUCCUCUCAUGGAACAUCGAGAGGGCCAUCCGCUGACUUCAAAGCGGCCACGUAAGUAGCGGCAAAAAUAGAAACGUUACUGCUCAUCAUGCUAGUGUUACUGCUAGAAAUAAGCCGAUUGCUAGCACUUCUACAAAUGCUUAUUGUGUAAAUACAAUUGAGACCGUGUCUGUUCCCCGAAUAAAACAACACAUCAAAAAGCCUCGAAGCGUUUGCCUUAGUAACCUCAUUCAUAUCAGACCAGUUACACCAGUUUACAACGACCGCACCUUUGGUCUAAAACUAGGCCUGCUUAACAUUAGAUCCCUGGCAUCUAAAGCCAUUAUUGCAAAUGAAAUUAUUACAGAUCAUGGUUUUGAUGCUCUGUGCCUCACAGAAACGUGGAUUGGACCCGAUGAGCCCCCGUUUAAGCGGUCGGGGUGGAGGUAUAGCAACCAUCCAUACUAAAGCUUUAGGCGUGAACCAGAAAGCAGGACCUACAUUUUCUUCUUUUGAAGUUCUUGUAC